AGAGUUUGAUCCUGGCUCAGGACGAACGCUGGCGGCGUGCUUAACACAUGCAAGUCGAACGGUGAAGGGACCGGUUUUUGCUGGUUCUGGAUGAGUGGCGAACGGGUGAGUAACACGUGAGUAACCUGCCCCCUUCUUCUGGAUAACCGCAUGAAAGUGUGGCUAAUACGGGAUAUUCUGCGCCUGCUGCAUGGUGGGUGUGGGAAAGAUAUUGUUUCGGUGGGGGAUGGGCUCGCGGCCUAUCAGCUUGUUGGUGGGGUGAUGGCCUACCAAGGCGGUGACGGGUAGCCGGCCUGAGAGGGUGGACGGUCACACUGGGACUGAGACACGGCCCAGACUCCUACGGGAGGCAGCAGUGGGGAAUAUUGCACAAUGGGCGCAAGCCUGAUGCAGCGACGCCGCGUGAGGGAUGGAGGCCUUCGGGUUGUAAACCUCUUUCGCUCAUGGUCAAGCCGCAACUGUGGGUUGUGGUGAGGGUAGUGGGUAAAGAAGCGCCGGCUAACUACGUGCCAGCAGCCGCGGUAAUACGUAGGGCGCGAGCGUUGUCCGGAAUUAUUGGGCGUAAAGAGCUCGUAGGCGGCUGGUCGCGUCUGUCGUGAAAUCCUCUGGCUUAACUGGGGGCUUGCGGUGGGUACGGGCCGGCUUGAGUGCGGUAGGGGAGACUGGAACUCCUGGUGUAGCGGUGGAAUGCGCAGAUAUCAGGAAGAACACCGGUGGCGAAGGCGGGUCUCUGGGCCGUUACUGACGCUGAGGAGCGAAAGCGUGGGGAGCGAACAGGAUUAGAUACCCUGGUAGUCCACGC
rnacentral:rRNA from 1 species